GACUUAGCUCAUAGAUGUCUUCUGAAAUGUGGAAGAAAUACUUUCGUUUGUCAUAAAACCUCAGCAGGAGAUUGGAGUCUGGAAGAGGGAGGGGAGAAGAGGAGGACCUCAGGGAGAUUGUUUUGCUUAUUGGUGUUUAAUUAAAAACCAAACAACUUUUCCUAUUAACUUGAUGCUACUUAUUAAUUGAAAUGAGGAGACUGACUCUGGAUAUUGGGAAAAUUUAUGUCUGGAAUAGCAAAUUGACCUCAAAAGAUAUAUUUUGAUCAGGAUGAAUUCCAAAGCUGAAAUUAGUUGUUCUCUGAGUUCAGAGUUUUAGAUUAAACAUCUCUCUCUUGAUAUAUAUAUCUAUGGUGACCAUUAUUCUGAGUGUUUUAAAAGCAAUAUUUUUCUAUUGAAGAAAUGAAAAUAGCAGUCAUUCAAAAUCCUAUUGUGCUAUCUUUUGAUCAUCAUAAUAAGCAAACGCAAAUAAUUCUCCCUUGGUGAUCCAAUUAAAUGAUUUUAAAAUAUCA
rnacentral:lncRNA from 1 species